AGUGAACGCUGGCGGUAGGCCUAACACAUGCAAGUCGAACGGCAGCACAGUAAGAGCUUGCUCUUACGGGUGGCGAGUGGCGGACAGGUGAGGAAUACAUCGGAAUCUACUUUUUCGUGGGGGAUAACGUAGGGAAACUUACGCUAAUACCGCAUACGACCUACGGGUGAAAGCAGGGGAUCUUCGGACCUUGCGCGAUUGAAUGAGCCGAUGUCGGAUUAGCUAGUUGGCGGGGUAAAGGCCCACCAAGGCGACGAUCCGUAGCUGGUCUGAGAGGAUGAUCAGCCACACUGGAACUGAGACACGGUCCAGACUCCUACGGGAGGCAGCAGUGGGGAAUAUUGGACAAUGGGCGCAAGCCUGAUCCAGCCAUACCGCGUGGGUGAAGAAGGCCUUCGGGUUGUAAAGCCCUUUUGUUGGGAAAGAAAAGCAGCAGGUUAAUACCCCGCUGUUCUGACGGUACCCAAAGAAUAGGCACCGGCUAACUUCG
rnacentral:rRNA from 1 species